GGGUUUUCUGUUUCGGUAUAUAUCGAUUGUCUAUAUUGUAGCUUUACAAUUCAUUUGACACUUUGGUAGCUUACUUUUGAUGAAUAAAAUACCGAGAAUUAUAAACGGCAGCUUUUAAAUGUGCGUCACAUUAUAUUAUGCAUGUCCAAACUCAUGAAGGUUUAUGUUCAGUUGUUCUCGUUUGUUUUUGUUAUCAGUACACGAAAAGUCUUAAUUGAUAGCUGAUAUUUGAUCAUAUCCGUUUAUUCCUUCAUUACUUUUGUAAAUAUGGUAACUUAGAGCUGGAAAUAGUGCAGUGACCUCUUUUUAUAAAUGAAAAAGGUAUUGUUCCCUGGAUAUGCGUUUGUUUUGUUAGUGAUCAGAUACUAUUUACUUACUCCUCAAAUCUCUACGCCUGUUAUUGAAAUCUAUUGCAUCGUGUGGUGUAAAGCAACUCAAAAGUACCCAGGUUAAUAAAAAACAAAAUUACCUUAUUCCAAUUUAGGUUUUUUUUAUAAACAAGAAAGUUACUGUAUUAUGUUCGAUAAGCGUUCUAUAACAAUAAUACUUUAAAUUAUUUCUACUUAAUUCACAUAAAUUAUUCGAUGCCAUUUCCGUAUUGCGUAGACGAUAACGCAACGACAAUGCAUGCAUAUUGAUAGUAUGUUGAUGCUUUUUUUUAGUUUGUGUCAAUGUUGAAACGGCAUGGGCUCUCAUAUCGGGUAAGUUAUGUAUCUCCAAAAAGAUAUUUAUUAGAGUGUUUUAUGUCUUAGAUGUUCCGACAAUUAAUGCAUGUAAGUUUGUAACUAAUAAAGAAUUUCUCCUUUGCAAUUCGAAUAACUGAAAAAAUAGACACUAAAAAAAAAAACUCAACAUAAUAUCGCAAUCAAGGAAAAUAACAGUACGCAAAGAAAGGAAAAAAAAUGUAUUG
rnacentral:lncRNA from 1 species